GACAGAGGUGCCAAGCGUUAGGCGGAAUCACUGGGCUUAAAGCGUGUGUAGGCGGAUUUGUAAGUACCUUGUGAAAUCCCAUGGCUCAACCAUGGAACUGCUCGGUAUACUGCGAAUCUUGAGCCACUUAGGGGCUACCGGAACAAAUGGUGGAGCGGUGAAAUGCGUAGAUAUCGUAAGGAAGACCAGUGGCGAAGGCGGGUCUCUGGACAGUUCCUGACGCUGAGGCACGAAGGCCAGGGGAGCAAACGGG
rnacentral:rRNA from 1 species